rfam:Arabis alpina cultivar Pajares scaff_52820_1_contig_5, whole genome shotgun sequence.
AUUCCAUGAUGAGGACAGCUUGUGGUGAAUCCUUUUAGACAUUCCCAAGCUUCAAUAAGGGAUUACUGACUGCCCUGCUCAAAACAGUUGAUAUUGCUUUUGUACU